rnacentral:rRNA from 1 species
AUGACGCCUUCAGAAAAGAAUCUCUCUGCGAUCGUGCUCCUAAUUGUCAUCAUGGCCACGGUAUGUCCAUUGUGUUCAAUGGUGCUUGGAUGCGAGUCGAUUGAAUGCCGGCACCAAAGCAGCAAUUAUAGAGGACUGUGCUUUGGCUUUACCGACGGUUGCUAUCAUACAUGCCUAGCUGAAAGCUCCGAUAACCAGUGGGGCCAAUGUGACUGCCUUAAAUGCUACUGCUAUACAUGCUAG